GGGCACAUGGUGUAGUUGGUUAUCACAUCCGCUUAGCAUCAGUGCGUCUGCGGGGGUGCUGGGUUCAAUUCCCAGUGUGUCCA